GCUACAUCCUUAAGCACUAAAUUAAUACAUGUUUUUCAGGUGUGAAAAUGAAACCAAGUUCGAUACAGAAGACCUCCACUGGGCUUACAGUUUCUGCCCCACCCCGUACUUCUGGGCGGCACUCCUGGGCCUGAUCUUAUAUCUCAUUUUCUUUGCACCUGGUAUGGGACCAAUGCCCUGGACGGUGAAUUCUGAAAUCUAUCCUCUCUGGGCAAGAAGUACAGGAAAUGCAUGCUCAGCAGGAAUAAACUGGAUUUUCAACGUCCUGAUUUCACUGACCUUUUUACACACAGCAGAGUAUCUCACAUACUAUGGAGCAUUCUUCCUCUACACCAGCUUUGCAGCCAUGGGACUGGUUUUCGUCUAUGGCUGUCUUCCUGAAACGAAAGGGAAAAAGCUGGAGGAAAUUGAAUCUCUCUUUGACAACAGACUAUGUACAUGUGGCGCUACUGACUCCGAUGAAGGCAGAUACAUUGAAUACAUCCGGGUGAAGGGAAGUAACUACCAUCUCUCAGACAACGAUGCUUCUGAUGUGGAGUAAUUUCCAGCUGGUGACAUUUUCAUUCCUGAAUUGAAUGUGGGAGAAGGCCAGCACUUAGUCACUGCCCUGCUCGCAAGCCAAGUCUCCCCACAGUCCUUCCGAAUGUCUCCAUAUUCUAGAAGACUUGACAAUGAGAAAAAUACAAUCAUGGUGAUGUUUAUUUUCAUAAACAGAAAUGCUUAAAAAAAAACCCACAGAGUUUUCUUAAAGCAAAUGUGUAUAAUCCCUUCUAGAGAUGGUCUAAACAGUACUGUUGUACACAGUAACUUCAGUAGGACCCCUUUCACCUAAGACCAUAUACAAUUAUUAGUAGCAAUACAGUCAGUGAUAAUCUAGGCAGAUUAUAUAUGUAUAUUUAUAAAGUAUUAUUUAAGAUGACCUAAAGGUAUUUAAUACCAAAACAUAGCCCAUUGACCCUAAAUUUUCAUACUAAGUAGUGGCUUUUCUAUGGUACAAAGUGAAUUUCAUCUAAACUUCCAUCCACAAAUUUAGAAGACCUAUAAGGACACAGCUGUCCCUCUCUCCUUUGGAUUCCAGAUGUUGGCUUCUGUCUCCAACACAGAUACACUAAUUUCUUCAGAGACUGAAUACACAGGAUCUUUUGAACACUAUCCAAAGCAGGCCCGUUGAGGGUUAUUUUCAUACUUUUUUGCAUUGGUGAUGAGUAUAUUUGCACAGAUAAGCUAGCAUGUUUUGAUAAGUAUAUUUUAUUGUCAAAGUGAGAAAGAACAGAUUUUUAUAUAUCCUCAUCUGUUUGUUGCAAUUGUCUGCACAAUUGGAAUGCAAUUGUACAUGUAAAGUAGUGUCAGGUUGUCAACUGUAUUCCAGGGUCAGUUUAAUGCACACCAGACUCUCCACAUUGUCACUUCUAGGCUCCUGCUGCUCUGUGCCUUCCUUGGUGUUCACUGACAGCUGCUGGCAGACUGGUUUUCUCUUUCUGAUGCACAAGAGGAAGAAAGUCAGUGGCAGAAACAGUUAUUAACAUUUAACUUAAACCCUAGGAUUCUUUCUCCACAUAUUAUUGGCUCUUCCUAAGGACAGGAGCACACCUCAAUACUGAUUACUGUGUUUUCCCCUGAGAAAAUGCAAGCUACUUUUAAUUCUGUCUUUUCUCAUUCCUAAUAACUUGCUACAUAACCAAAACUCAGAGCUGUGUCUGUUUCUUUAUCUCAUCCUUGGUUUGGUUUUCUGUCUACUCUAAAAACUGAGAUUUCUGCUUUGGAAAAGACACAGAUAGGUUAUAAUCCACAGUCAGUAAAAGAGGCUGACUUUACCUUUCCACACUAUCUCUCAAAGUAUUUGGUAGUUUCUAUGUUCACCCAACACUGAAUUCCUAGUUCUCACCACCCUACUAAGAGCUAUGUGUGGUACAAACAAAAUUCCUUGCUUACAAAACUCAUUUGCUAGUUCUAAAGCUUGGAUGAGUCUAAUGACCAGUUAGGAACACAUCAGUUUGAUGUUUUACACAAUGAUCUAAACACCUAAUUAAGUUCCAUAUCCAAGUGAAUGGAGGGUAGUGAUAAAAUGGAGUAUUUUGGCCAGUCUCCAAAAUGCUUUUUCUUCUUUUAAUGCCUGGCUUCUUCUUACCAUAAUUACCAAGCUGAGAUGAUAGCAAAGGAAGUUUAUCCUCCAGGCACCACCAGAGGUACUUACACAGUCACUUUCGUGGCCUACAUAUCCUUCAGCCAAAAGAGGGAGUUCUCUCUGUUUGGUUGUUUAAUGCUAUUUUAAAAAAAUAGUAUAGUAUUUUGAAAAAUUUUUUUGUCAAAUUAGGUGCUUUGAGAUUUAUUUAUAGAGGAUAUUAGUACUAAUUUUUCUCUAGAACAAGAUAUUAUUUAAUGGGAAGUAUUAUUUGAUAUUUAUCUCUUAAGAAGUUUAACUCAAUAGCAUUUUACAAGAUCAAAUGAGCUAUUAUGUGGUAUGGUUGGCAUAUUAUGGGAAGAAAAAUGAGUAAAGUAAUCCUUUUAAAGUGUAUUUUUCUGAUUUGUUCAACUUGUUGCCUCAAAUCUUCCCUUCAUAGUCCACGUAGCCUUAGGUACACAUGUGUCUGCAGCUGGCUGACACAUGGGACACAUGGGCUGAGACAUGGGACACAUAUGACAUAAAGGGACAGCUAGAGUCAAUAGUCCUGAAAGCUGGGUGUGACCUGUUCUUGCUGACAUAAGAACAAGUAUGUUUUCAGCUUUCUGUGCAUAAAUUAAUAUAAUAAUGGGAAAUUGUCCACAUGUCUCUUGACCUGUACCCUUCUUCAUUUCUAAAAAUUAUUUAUAUAUUAAUAUUCCAUACCUUUAACAUACAAGACAGAACAGCACAUAUGACUUAUUUAUAACUUUUAAAAAGCAACUCAAUACUUGAAAAGGAGCCUUCUAUAAUCCAGGUAUGCUUUUUAGAUUUGGUGAACAUUUAUAGCAAAUUAAAAGUUCAAAGUUGGAAUUUUCAGACUUUUAUUCUAUUAAACACCUUUUAUGUUUCUAGUGUCAACUGCCAACUUGAAAACCACCCAUGUGAAAUCAUCAAACAUAUAUUUUGUAGGACAAUUUCUAUAUGAUAUGAUUUGACCUACCACAUUAAAAUAGACAGAUUAAGCAGUGUGCUUGCCACUGCAAUGAUAGCUUUCUUUCCAAACAUGCUGCAAUUUCAAUACCGGUGUGUUUCAUUUGGGGAACACUGAGUGAAGAAGGUUGAGACCAUACCUGCAACCUAGCUGGCUAAUAUGUAGGAGAAUUAAGAAUGCAUCAUUUGUCUACAUGUAAGCACAUACUGUUGAACGUGAUUGUCAAAAAGAUUUGGGGUUAUGGGCUGUAGAUACAGUUUAGUGGUAAAGUGCUGGCCUCAAAAGAUUGGAUGUUAAUAUUUUUCUUCCAUGUAAACAUCUGUAAUAAUUUUGAUUAUUACACCUACCUUAGUCAUUGUCUAAAACAUUGCUUUGAAUAUAUAUGAAUAUAUAUAUAUAUGAUAUUUCCAGGAGAAUGAUAGCAGAAUCUUUUAAAUAAUUUAUCAGUGAAACACACUUUAGGAUACAUUCUUAAUACUUGUUAUUCACUCUAAAAUGAGAGAUCAGUAAAAGCACCAAAUUUAUGGAUUUUUGCUCUAAUUUUAGUAUCUAUUAAACGGGUGAAAGGCCAGGGAAAACAAAUUGAUAACUUGCCCAUUUACUUUAUACUAGCAAAGUAUGGCUCAGAGGUUAAGAGCACUGACUGCUUUUCCAGGGGUCCUGAGUUCAAUUCCCAGCAACCACAUGGUGACUCACAACCAUCCAUCAUGAGAUCUGGUGCCCUCUUCUGGUGUGCAGAUAUACAUAGAAGCAGAAUGUUGUAUACAUAAUAAAUAAAUAAAAUCUUUUAAAAAAUUAUUAUAAAUCUUGGGGCAGGGUGAAGUGAUGUUUUAGAUAGUGUCACCCACAGGUUUUCUUUAAUAGCUGAGUGCAAUAACUUUUCAGUUGUCAACUUCAGACCAUUUCCCUAACUAGGAACAAAAGAAUUAGAUGGUACAACCAGGCCCGGAGUAGAGGAUUCCUGGUAUACUCUCUCUAGAAAACUAGCCUACAUCCUACCUUAAGCGGGAAAGUUAUAGGUGAAAUUCAUAGUUCAAGAGUAGCCACUGCCUAUACAAGACUCAAACCUGUUCUCUGGGCAGUUCUUCAUGUCCUUCAGCCUGUCCAUUUCUACCAGUACCAGUCAUGCACAGGUUGGACAGUGUAGAUAUAUUCAGUUCUCCAAGGUGAGCACCAGUGCUGCCACCUUCUGGGAACUUCGAGCAGUUGCAAAUGCCAAACAGCUACUUGCUCCCUGCUUCCUUGUAUGCUGUUUGGGGAAGGAAAUAGUCAUGUGCUAAUCAAUCAUCAUCAGAAAUUCACUUUAUAAGUAUUCACGUUCGGAAAUACCCAGAAGCAUUUUUGUCAUCAUCAUACUGUGCUUGUGAGUACAGAGCAGGAUAAUUCUCCAAAUCUUCACGUGUGUACAGUUCAGUCGAUAGCAAUUGAGUAAUUCGGUCAACAGAAUUUUCAAUGCCAUCUUUUACAGAUAAUAUUCACAUUUUAGACAGGCUCAUGGAGUUGAUUUUGUCAUAUCCACAUAAAUAGGAUAAGAAAUGGACUGUGCAGAUAAUCAAUAUCCAAACCUAUGAAUCUCUACUUUACAAAGUUUUCAGAUUUUGCCCAAUUCAACAUUAUCCAUUUCACUAAAAUUUAGACAAUAUAAUGUUAACUGUAGCCAAAGUAGAAAUUUAUGUCCUAUAUACAUGUCCAGAUUUUCUGGUGGCUCCUGUACUGUGUCUCUCUUGAUGUUACAGUACCGUUUGUAAUAAAUGUUCUAAUUUCUAUUUAGGAACUCUAAAUAUACAUCUCUAUUAAAUCGGAAGUUUCAUGCUUUUAGAGGUGGACGUAUUUUGAACUGUACAUUUUAAUUUUCAGAAUGCAUGUUAUAUACUGUUUAAUACUUGACAUAUCUUGGCAAAUCUAGUCUUUUCAUUCCUACCUGUGACAUACAGAGUAUCUCUUGAAAACUGACACUGUCCCAUUUACCAAAUCAUGCUAGCCUAUGCUGUAUCAAAAGUAUGGUAUAUUUUAUGGAGAUUUAGUGAUAUACAUGUAAAUGUUUUUUAAGUUAUUUUAUUGAACUUCAAUAUUUACAUAAAGUUAUAAUCUUUUUUUAAAGAAAGUGUCAGUGCCAGAGCUGUAUAAGAAAAUAAUCAAAUAAAGGUAAAGAUAAUUCAUUCUCCCAGA